GAGAGUUUGCAGAGGCUUGAAAGAGGCGAUAAAAAUCAAUUGUCGCGUGAUCCGGGUGAACAAUAGGUACGCUCGUUCUUGUAUGGGUCCAUGGCUAUAAGGUUUUCCGGGCAUCUCGACGCUAAAAUAGCAAGAAAGCGACCCGUUCUCGAUUGAUAAUAAAUAGAGUCACAUUCAUGCUUGGCGAUGGUUGACUGGAAGAAGAGGAGUGGCUGAAGCGUGCCAGGCCUCCUGGAAAGAGGAUCCCGACGCGCAACGCAGGAAACUCAGCUUUCCGUGUUUUCUUCGUUGCUGAUGCGUUCGAUGCCUUUCAUCGUCAACGAGGGUUACCGGUGAUCGGGGCAUCGGAGAUAUUUGAGUGGACCCGGAGGAGGACUUAUCCUUUAGAGACCCCUGACGUAUCAAAGUUGAAGAGCAAGGUACCGCAACCUCAGAGCGUUGAGGUGUAAAGAGAUUCUGCUCCAAGAAAAUUUUAUUUUGCUUCAUAAGUAUUAUUUCUGAUACAAAGAACAAUGUCACACCCCUCACCCUCUGCGUCUCGAAUUCAGGUUCAGAAAUUGCAGAACGAGGAUCGUCGCACGCGUUAGCAGACGGUCGCUGUCGAGUCGUUUGACGGCGAGAG